AUAUAGUUUCACCAUAUCAGGGUGAUCGUGGAUCAGCCAUUCUCUUUGAUUCGAGCAAGAUUUCUACGUCUUCGAUCAUUUAGUCGAAAGUGUCAGGUCUGACUACACCGUGCAGUUGAUCAAUAAGCAAGAUCAUGUAAGUCAAUCAGAUCUGUUUCAUUCCAUCUAAUGCUCUACCUUUAGAUUUCAUAAUUUGAUUUUUGGGGUCUCACUGAAAUUGAAAGUGAUAAUCCCUGCAAUAUAUCUCUCCCGGGCACAACAAGACCCAAAAUCUCUACAAAUUCAAAUCACGAAAAGUGAACAUUUCUGCAAUUUCGUUUCUGGGUACUUAGAGUUUUGUUCUUCAAUUUCAGAAAUUACGUUAGUUUAAGCUGUUUGUUAUUUCUAGAAGUAAUUCAGGUUUUGAUGGACUGUAGAGAAGUGAUGAGAAGAAAGAAAGUAUGACUUUAAGAAUUCAGAAAAUGAGAAGAGAACAAAAAUGGCUUCUUUGAAAAAGAAAGCCAUCAAUGCCUCUACCAAACUCAAGCACUCUCUCAAGAAGGUAAAGAGAAGAAAAAUAGAAGGCUGAGUCAGCUCGGUCUCCGUUGAAGAUGUUCGUGAUGUCGAGGAUUUUCAAGUAGUUGAUGAGUUUAGACAAGCCUGGUCAUGGACGAGUUGCUACUACCCUCUAAACAUUAUAAGAGGUUCUUAAAGGCAAGGAAAUUGGACAUUGAGAAAGCAAAGCAAAUGUACUGAUAUCUCUGGUGGAAAGAGAAGGAGAAGUCUCAGAGGAGAGGAGAGGAGAGGAGAGCGCAAAGGAUGUGUCCUCUGACAGUAGAGAAGGUGCUUUGGUUCUAAAAGCAUUGGGAUUCAAUAUAAGUACAUAGAUAUACAUUGCAGCUCGUGAUAUAUAUAGGAUGUAAGAAAGCCAUCAGAUGUAUCUCAUUUUUAAGAAAACAGCUCGACCACAAGAGAUUCAAGGAGCUACUGGAGUUGCAUCACAACAAGCAUGUGGGAUCAGUUUGUAAUAGCUGUCAAGGAAGCUCCUGAGAGAAGAACAUGAACACCAACACAUCCAAGAAUUGUUUUUUUUUUAAGUAUCUAAGAGUAAUCUCUUAUAAACCUAAGGAGGAAUAUUACUUUUACGCAGACCUUCAUUAACUUCUUUGUGAAGGUACAAAUUGCCAUGACAUAUUUGGUCACUGAAAUUCCAGUCAUGUUUUUAUCUCAUUGCCUCAGAAAGAGAACAAAAUAACUUGAAAAUGUGCUGCGUCAAUAAGUAGCUCAUUCCCCGAAUUUUUUUUUUCUAUUUUUGU